UUCUUCGGUGGCCCUGGGGGCUUCAGCUUUGAAGCAUCUGGUCCAGGGAAUUUCUUCUUUCAGUUUGGCUAAUGAAAUCAUCCGGAACCCAGCAAAUGCAGACUUGCUCAGUGUAACCUUGAAUGUGGACACAAUUCACCUCCUCCCUUCAUCAUGUCUCCAUGUACUUAGAGCAGUUUCAUUUUCUCAGUUGGAUGCCCUGUGUCUGUGAGUGGGGUGAAGGAAAGGGAGCCAGCGCCGAAGACUGCGGGGAGGGGAGGGAGGCGGGGGGUGGACAGGGAGGCAGCUUGUGAAUUUUUGUUUUACUGUUUAACUUUAUUAAAAAAGAAAAAAAUUAAGAGAAUAAAAUGUUUUGACCCUU